ensembl:lncRNA
AUCCGAGCGCAGAGGGACUACUCAUUCCUUGAAAAUGAUCAGGAGGAUUCUUUAGGGGAUGAAAUAUUUGGAUGAAAGGAGGUAGAGGGGAUAGAGUGAGCGAGGCAGGGGAGAAGCCCGUCCCUCUCCUCCACCUCGUGCCCCGCUGAAGCAGAUGGCGCUGAAUGGCUCUGCAGUGCCACCGCUCGCCUUUUGAGGACUGCUGCCAUAAGGAGGUGGGUUAGUAGGAGAUUUGGGGUGACAGUGUUUGGCAUGGGCUACAAAGCGAAGACGUUGGGAGGGGGAAAGCACUCGGUGCCCUGGGCUGACACAAAGGCCUUGGGAGUGUACCCCCUGCUGUUAAUGCAGUGAGAAAGGAGCGGAGGAGCAGCCGGGCAGGCAAAGGCAGCCGUCGCCUCACGCCGGGUGACUGACUGAACAAACUCCAUCUUGAGCAGUAAUAACACAGCAUCAGUGGCUCUUGGUGCUGGGCUUGCAGAACUGGAAGACAAGUGGGAGAGGGCCCUGCCAGUGGCGCAAUGAAGAAGGAAAUGUCCAUUCUAAUAUCCUGUCUGGGGCGUCUACUCUCUCUGUCGGCCUCACUUCUAUCUGUGGAUCUGGAUGGAUCGAGUGCGGGGAAGACGCCGCCGCGCCGAUAUCUGAUGUUCUCCUCGC